GUGGAUAAUUAUGCGUAGCCAGAGCAACAUGAUAGCCCAACAUAAUUAUGUAAUUAUGUUGGGCUAUGAUGUUGCUCUGGCUACGCAUAAUUAUCCAC